AAUGAACGUUGGCGGCGUGGAUUAGGCAUGCAAGUCGAGCGAGAACCGUAGCAAUACGGGGACAGCGGCGAAAGGGACAGUAAUGUGUAGGUACCUACCUCCGGGUUCGGGAUAGCUGCGGGAAACUGCAGGUAAUACCGAAUAACGUCUCCGGACCAAAGGUGUGAUUCCACCUGGAGAGGGGCCUGCAUCCUAUUAGCUUGUUGGCGGGGUAACGGCCCACCAAGGCGACGAUGGGUAGCGGGUGUGAGAGCACGACCCGCGUCAUUGGGACUGAGACACUGGCCAGACACCUACGGGUGGCUGCAGUCGAGGAUCUUCGGCAAUGGGCGCAAGCCUGACCGAGCGACGCCGCGUGCGGGAUGAAGGCCUUCGGGUUGUAAACCGCUGUCGUAGAGGAGGAAGUGCAGGGGGGUUCUCCCCUCUGUUUGACCUAUUCUAGGAGGAAGGACGGGCUAAGUUCGUGCCAGCCGCCGCGGUAA
rnacentral:rRNA from 1 species